rnacentral:rRNA from 1 species
AUUGAACGCUGGCGGCAGGCCUAACACAUGCAAGUCGAACGAGUGGCGGACGGGUGAGUAAUGUCUGGGAAACUGCCCGAUGGAGGGGGAUAACUACUGGAAACGGUAGCUAAUACCGCAUACCAUCGGAUGUGCCCAGAUGGGAUUAGCUUGUAGGUGAGGUAACGGCGCACAUAGGCGACGAUCCCUCGCGGGCCUGAGCGGAUGACCAGCCACACGGGAACUGAGCCACGGUCCAGACUCCUACGGGAGGCAGAAGGUGGGAAUAUUGCACAAUGGGCGCAAGCCUGAUGCAGCCAUGCCGCGUGUAUGAAGAAGGCCUGCGGGUUGUAAAGUACUUUCAGCGGGGCGGCGUUACCCGCAGAAGAAGCACCGGCUAACUCCGUGCCAGCAGCCGCGGUAAUAC